rfam:Oryza glumipatula chromosome 12, whole genome shotgun sequence.
UACUACUCAAUUUAUAGAUUUACGUGUCCAACGUUUAACUGUUCGUCUUAUAUAAAUUAUUUUUAUAAUUAGGAUUUUCAUUGUUGUUAGAUGAUAAAACAUAAAUAAUAUUUUAUGUGUGACUUAUCUUAUAAAUUUUUUUAAAUAAGACGGACGGUCAAACGUUGGAUAUGGACGGUCA